UCCCAGUCCUCAUUCCUCUGGAUAAGAGUACAGUUUUCCAGAGAGGUGGAGAAGCAAAGCGGCUGCGUCGUAGAUAUGCCUGAAUAAUUGACCAUCGCACUCACUGGUAUCACGUGUCCGACGGAAGGGGUGCCCAGUACCUGGGUGUUGUUGACAUAAACUG